UACGGGGGGAGCAAGCGUUGUUCGGAUUUACUGGGCGUAAAGGGCGCGUAGGCGGCCACCGCAAGUCGGUUGUGAAAUCUCUGGGCUUAACCCAGAAAGGUCAACCGAUACUGCGGGGCUAGAGUGCAGAAGGGGCAACUGGAAUUCUCGGUGUAGCGGUGAAAUGCGUAGAUAUCGAGAGGAAGACCAGUGGCGAAGGCGGGUCUCUGGACAGUUCCUGACGCUGAGGCACGAAGGUCAGGGGAGCAAACGGG
rnacentral:rRNA from 1 species